UACGUAGGUGGCGAGCGUUGUCCGGAUUUACUGGGCGUAAAGGGAGCGUAGGCGGACUUUUAAGUGAGAUGUGAAAUACCCGGGCUCAACCUGGGGGCUGCAUUUCAAACUGGAAGUCUAGAGUGCAGGAGAGGAGAGUGGAAUUCCUAGUGUAGCGGUGAAAUGCGUAGAUAUCUGGAGGAACACCGGUGGCGAAGGCGGCGUUCUGGGACUGCUACUGACACUGAGGAACGAAAGCCAGGGGAGCAAACGGG
rnacentral:rRNA from 1 species